AUUGAACGCUGGCGGCAGGCCUAACACAUGCAGGUCGAGCGGAUGACGGGAGCUUGCUCCUUGAUUCAGCGGCGAACGGGUGAGUAACGCGUAGGAAUCUGCCUGGUAGUGGGGGACAACGUUCCGAAAGGAACGCUAAUACCGCAUACGACCUACGGGGGAAAGUGGGGGAUCUUCGGAUCUUACGCGCGCAGAGGAGCCUGCCUCGGAUUAUCUAGGUGGAGAGGUAAAGGCUCACCAGGGCGACGAUCCGUGGCUGGUCUGAGAGGAUGAUCAGCCACACCGGAACUGAGACACGGUCCGGACUCCUACGGGAGGCAGCAGUGGGGAAUAUUGGACAAUGGGGGCAACCCUGAUCCAGCCAUGCCGCGUGUGUGAAGAAGGCCUUCGGGUUGUAAAGCACUUUAAGCGGGGAGGAACGUUCGUUGGCUAAUACCCAGCGGAAUUGACGUUACCCGCAGAAUAAGCACCGGCUAACUCCGUGCCAGCAGCCGCCGCAGUAA
rnacentral:rRNA from 1 species